UUCCGGUUGAUCCUGCCGGAGGACAUUGCUAUUGGGAUUCGAUUUAGCCAUGCUAGUCGGACGAGUUUAGACUCGUGGCGUAUAGCUCAGUAACACGUGGCCAAGCUACCCUUCAGUCGGCAAUACCCUCGGGAAACUGAGGUUAAUAGUCGAUGUGGGACGCCUGCUGGAAUGCAGCGUUCUCUAAAGGCGACGCUGAAGGAUGCGGCUGCGGCCGAUUAGGUUGACGGUGGGGUAACGGCCCACCGUGCCAGUAAUCGGUACGGGUGAUGAGAGUCAGAGCCCGGAGACGGAAUCUGAGACAAGAUUCCGGGCCCUACGGGGCGCAGCAGGCGCGAAACCUUUACACUGCACGGAAGUGCGAUAGGGGAAUCCCAAGUGCGAGGGCAUAUUCGCCCUCGCUUUUGUUGACCGUAAGGUGGUCGACGAAUAAGAGCUGGGCAAGACCGGUGCCAGCCGCCGCGGU
rnacentral:rRNA from 1 species